ensembl:lncRNA
UAUAUUUUUUGGCCGUCAGGAAAGGGUGCUCGGCGUUCGCAGCACAUCUGUGGUCCUGGUGUCUAGGACCCAACAGCAGGAUUUUGCAGUGAGGACAUGCCCUCACUGUUGCAUCCUGAUGAAGCAUUCGGACUACCCAGCCAGCAACAUAAAAGAGGCCCUCCUCUAGGAUGCAAUCACCAACAGUCUAAAAAGUCAACAUCCAUUGGUUCUGCUUUGGGUGAAAGAGGCAGGGCCAAUGAGGUGGUCGGAGGCAUCAGCAGACCUGUGGUUGCUGAGGUCGAGGGAGUCGCCCCAUCGGAUGAGGUAGUCAGAAGUGUGACUCCAUCUUCCACCUCACAAUUGGAUGUGAAUGAAGAGAGGGCAGGCAGAAUGUUGGACACACUCAGUCCCCUGAGAGCAGCGGUGAACUCCCGUGCACUGGGGUUAUAUUUGUGCCCACCUUUUCCCCGGACCAAGGAGAAGUGAUUCUACCCAAAAACAAAAGGGGGAGAAAGUAAGUUGUUUAUGAUUUUGAUUAGGUUAUGGAUUUCCAAUGCAACAGUUCACAUGGAGUAGGGAAAGUCCCUCGGAGGGCUUCCAGGAAAAGCUACUGUACCAAUAGACCUACAUGUUUUGUUUUUUUGUUUGUCUGUUGUAGUCAGUCACAUUUACCUCUUGAUUUAGUUUUGAGGUGCACAAAUACUUCAUGCCAGCAUCUGUGCACCUCUUCUGGACCAUCAAGAUGCUCUUGAUUGUGAGCUGCAUUCCGUUCUGGAAUGGUGGUGGCUUACGCCCAGAUCUGAGAGAGGGGUAUAAUUUUAUAUAAUAUAUAAGAAUUUAUAUAAUAUAAGUUUAUCAAGAAGUGCUAUUACCAAAUGUCAUGUUAGUGUGUGUUUCACCUGCUAGUUUGUUUGUUUGUUUAUUUCAUUUGCUGAAGCUUGGUUGUUCACUUAGGCUUUUCUUAUUGACUGACCUGAACUGCCAGCCUGCCACCCAGCUUAUGCAGUUGACAAAUCAAGUUCUCCUUCUCCUGGCUUCCUGUACCAAGGGGUUGU